GGGGUAUUAGCUCAGCUGGGAGAGUGCCUGGUUCGCAAUCAGGAGGUCAGGGGUUCGAUCCCCCUAUGCUCCA
rnacentral:tRNA from 1 species